UCCUCUUACAAAGGCGCACUUGUAUUGGUUUGCUUGCAAGUGCGUAAGAACCAGAGGAACAGAAAAAUGACUGGCUUUUUAAAUUUACUGUCUGUAAAA
rnacentral:snoRNA from 1 species